rnacentral:rRNA from 1 species
GAAAGUAGGAAAGGGCGCAUGGCGGAUGCCUUGGCUCUCGGAGGCGAUGAAGGACGUGAUAAGCUGCGAUAAGUCACGGGGAGGUGCAAAUAACCCUUGAUCCGUGAAUCUCCGAAUGGGACAACCCGUUACCUUGAAGAGGUAACAUCCAUCAAUGAUGGAGGCUAACGCAGGGAACUGAAACAUCUUAGUACCUGCAGGAAAAGAAAAUAACAAUGAUUCCCCCAGUAGUGGCGAGCGAACGGGGAAGAGCCCAAACCGUUCAUGUUACGGCAUGGACGGGGUUGUAGGACCGCGUCGUUGCAAGAAAUUUUGCGAGAAGAACGAUCUGGAAAGUUCGGCCGAAGACGGUGACAGCCCGGUAUUCUAAGCAAGACGAAGCAUAGCGGUAUCCUGAGUAGCGCGGAACACGAGGAAUUCUGCGUGAAUCUGCCGGGACCAUCCGGUAAGGCUAAAUACUCCCGAGAGACCGAUAGUGGACCAGUACCGUGAGGGAAAGGUGAAAAGCACUUCGAACAGAAGAGUGAAAUAGUACCUGAAACCGUGCGCCUACAAGCGGUCGGAGCACGAAAGUGUGACGGCGUGCCUUUUGCAUAAUGAACCUACGAGUUGCCGUCUUUGGCAAGGUUAAGGGACAUGAGUCCCGCAGCCGAAGCGAAAGCGAGUCUGAACAGGGCGUCAAGUCAGCGGCGGCAGACGCGAAACCAAGUGAUCUACCCUUGGCCAGGAUGAAGUCUGGGUAACACCAGAUGGAGGUCCGCACCAAUAAGCGUUGAAAAGCUUCUGGAUGAGCUGAGGGUAGGGGUGAAAGGCUAAUCAAACUUGGAGAUAGCUCGUACUCCCCGAAAUGCAUUUAGGUGCAGCCUUGCGGGUUACUGAUGUGAGGUAGAGCGACUGAUUGGAUGCGAGGGCUUCACCGCCUAUCAAGUCCUGACAAACUCCGAAUGCGCAUCAGUUCUACCGCAGGAGUGAGGGCAUGGGUGCUAAGGUCCGUGCCCGAGAGGAGAAGAAUCCGGACCACCGGCUAAGGUCCCGAAAUGACAGCUAAGUUAAACUAACGAAGUCUGAUUGCUAAGACAGCUAGGAUGUUGGCUUGGAAGCAGCCAUUCAUUUAAAGAGUGCGUAACAGCUCACUAGUCGAGGAAUCGGGCGUGGAUAAUAAUCGGGUAUGAAGUUGUCUACCGAAGCCGUGGGAUCAGCAAUGAUCGGUAGGGGAGCAUUCCAUUCCGCGUCGAAGGCGUGGCGUGAGCCAUUCUGGAGCGUAUGGAAAAGCAAAUGUAGGUAUAAGUAACGAUAAAGGGGGUGAGAAACCCCCUCGCCGAAAGACUAAGGUUUCCUGAUCAACGCUAAUCGGAUCAGGGUCAGUCGGGUCCUAAGGCUCAGCCGAACGGCGAGGCCGAUGGCAGAAACGGUUAAUAUUCCGUUACUACCUUUGAGGGUGACGUGGGGAAGCAGUAGUGACACUGCCGCGGGCUGACGGAAUAGCCCGUUAAAGAGUGUAGGCGUUGAUUUCCGCAGGCAAAUCCACGGAAAGAGCCGAACUUGACAGUAUGGAGCGUCCUUCGGGACAAUCCAACAGCGCAGGUAAUCAGACUGCCGAGAAAAUCCGCUAAACAUAACUUCAGAGGUACCCGUACCGCAAACGGACACACGUAGUCGGGUUGAAUAUACUAAGGCGCUUGGGUGAAUCACGGUUAAGGAACUAGGCAAACUGACCCUGUAACUUCGGGAUAAAGGGUCCCUCCUCGCAAGAGAGGGCGCAGAGAAUAGGUCCAGGCAACUGUUUAACAAAAACACAGGGCUGUGCGAAUAUGAAAGUAGAAGUAUACAGCCUGACACCUGCCCGGUGCUGGAAGGUUAAGAGGAGAUGUCAUCGCAAGAGAAGCAUUGAAUUGAAGCCCCAGUAAACGGCGGCCGUAACUAUAACGGUCCUAAGGUAGCGAAAUUCCUUGUCGGGUAAGUUCCGACCUGCACGAAUGGUGUAAUGAUCCGGACGCUGUCUCAACCAUGAGCUCAGUGAAAUUGUAGUAUCGGUGAAGAUGCCGAUUACCCGCGAUGGGACGAAAAGACCCCGUGAACCUUUACUAUAGCUUAUCAUUGAAUCUGGGCACGCACUCUGGUUCCCGAUGUACUCAUCCAUACAUCUCCGGCCUCAUAGUUAGCUGCAAUUACAAUACUGUCACUCGGAACAUAGCCAUCACUUGUGCUCCGAUUGCUUGAAGGAUCAUAUUCCCAGUUCUCCCAACCGAAACGGUUCUGAUCACACAUUGCCGUUGCAACUGCUUUAAUUGCUUCAAACUCGGCAUAAUAUGUAUCAGACCAAUAUGUAUCAAACAUAUCCUGUGCCUGUUCAUUGUUGAUCGUUACAACUACGAUAUCCGCACCUAUCUUAUCUUCAUAUUCUGCAAUGACAUCUUCCAAGCUCUUCUCUUCAGAAGAUGUAAGUUUGUCUGCAUAAUCAAAUACUCUCUGAUCCGUCAGACAUUCUGUGUUGCUUCUCUUAUCAUGCUUCAGAUUCUGUUUGCUGAUCAGCGCACUUCCAAUCAUCAGAACAAAUCCGAUAACAAAUAAUACUAAAACGGUGAUCUUAUAUUUCUUCAUAUUAAAUCACCUCCAGGAUCAUAGCUAUGCCGGAAGCACACGCAGCUACCGAUGCAGCAAAUGCUGCUGUAAGUCCGAUCGCACGGCUGACGCUUCUCGGUGGUGUACCCACACACUUACCUGUCUGACCAUUUACAUAGAACAUAUAAUUCUGUCCCUGAUACCGAUAUUCAUAGAUCCAUACAGGCAUCAAUGCAAAUCGGUUCGCCAGCAGUUUAUUAUUUGCGUUCAUAU